rnacentral:tRNA from 1 species
GUGGGUUUAGCAGGUGAGUGCGCUCUAAUUGUUACUUAGGGAGUAGCUGUGGUAUGCGCAGCAACUCACG